rnacentral:tRNA from 1 species
GGAGAGGUCGCCUAGAGGCUGAGGGCGCGCGCUUGGAAAGCGCGUAGGCGGGCAACCGUCUCGAGGGUUCGAAUCCCUCUCUCUCCG